UUCUGCUGUUGAGAGGAAUUAUACAUCACACAAGCUACAGUGAUCCCGGAAGGCAUGGAACAGCACCUGCUUCAGCUCAUCCAGAGACAGCUGCUGCAUGUCAAACUGCAGGGACACAAGUGUGCGUGUGACAGGAAAACAGCCGGGGAUCGUGAGCAGUGACCGGUGACAUACUGGAGGAGCCAGGACGCAUCAGUCAGAGGAACAGGUUGAGAGCUCAUCAUAGAAGAUGAUCUGUUCAUCUUGAUUCUUUAUUGCCAUUACAAACCCCAAGGCCGGGACAUAGUUGAUUGAGGGACUUCUCUGGUCUGUCCUCUGUGUGUGUGUUUGUGUUCAUAUCUUAUUCAUCUACCUUUAUCAUAAUUGAGAUGCUGUGACUUAUUCUGUGAAACAUUUAUAAUGUCAUUGAAAGGUUUCUUUUCAUUUUUAUAGUGCAAUAUUUCUGCCUUGUAAUCAUCUAGUCUGUAAAAUGUG